AUGAUAAGUCAAGGCAGGAUUUGUGUUUUUAGUUUUCUGCUUAAGUCAGUUGAGUUGGGCUUAUAUUUCAUUCCCUUUAACCAAGAUUCCUAACAAAUGCAAGGUCUCUUUCCAUCAGGGAAAGCCUGUUUGAGGAAGAGCGAACAUAAAACAAUCCCAGAGAAGAGAGGAAAUAAAGGGAUCGGAGAAGCUGAUGAGAAAGUCAACAAUCACAACAUCUCCACAGUUGAACCCGUCCACCUCACAGCUCCAGGAAAGGCAAUCCCAUGACUUAUGACUAUCACUCUUGGAUGUGGUUGACUGACUACUUCAUGGAGACAUUAUGUGGUGGGAAGGACUGACUGAGACUUAUUUGCUGAGCCAUGCAACACUUGAAGGAGGCUUUGUGUAGUGAGAAGUCACAUGUACCAUUGGGUUAAUUAUCUUAACAUCACAACAUGUAUUAGCUCAUUAAUCUGCAAUUUGUAUGCCAGCUUCAUCAGGUCAGUGGAGAAGGUCUAAGCCUAGAGGUCAGGAGCUGCCUGGGCUCCUCUCCGGUCAGCAGCUGACACUGGCUGACUGCCAUUAGCACAGACCUUAGCUGGAGCUAUCUGAUAAGACAGCCAUGUAUGACCACUCCACGAGGCCACUUAGAUUCCUUACAGCAUUGCGCUAGGUCAAAGGUGUCUCGGGAGAGUCGGGGAGAUGCUAUACCUUCUAAUAUCACCUAGCCUUGAAAGUCACCUAAUGUCCUCCUGAAAGUCACUUAAAGUUGAGAGGAGCCAUGACUCACAACCAUGGGUUGAAGGAAGACACACUGGCUGAGACCCUUGGGAGCCUUUGACCAACCCUCCAGCUCCUUCUCCACUUAGCUGUCACACAGUCACAUUUUGAGAGUGUAGAAGAACAAGGCAGAAGUGGACUACAUCCAUCCUUGAGUUAUCAGAAGAUGGCAUGGAAAGCCGAGAACAUCACCUUCCUGGGAAAAAGGAAUCGCUCCUUCAGCAAAAGGCACACGAGGACAACGCAAGUCUGUCUCUUUCAUCAAGAUUCGCCAGGGGCUUGUGAAAAAGGCCUUUGCCUACAGAGCUUCAGCUAAAUCUCCUGCAGAAGGGCCAUCUGUGCUCCCAGACAACCACCUCCAAGCUAAGGACAAUCACUGCAGAGCUAAGCUGUAGCUCCUCACCCAGCCCCCUACCCCCAGCCCCAGGCUAGAUGCUGUCCUUAGCCUGCAUGACCCUUGACUGCAUGACAGCUAAGCUACUCUCAGCUGUUCUGAGACUCCCAGCAGCUCCUAGAUGUCCUCAUCGCAGGCCCGGGGACACCUGAACCAACUCUCCCUUUCUCACAUCUCAGACUGUCCUUUCCCACCCCCGCAGUCCUGCCUUGGUGCUUCUCUGAAGCCCAGCAGGAUAAGGGCAGUCAAACUCCCCAAUCUCCCGAGUAGAGUGGCCAGCCAUGCCCCGAGGCCAGCAGAAUGCAGAACCAACAGCGGGAUGCAGUUACCUUUUUGCCUCCUUUCCCUAUCCUGGUGUUAAAAGCAUGUGCCACCUCAUCUGGCUUUAUUAUAUGAAUUUAAGGAAUCAAAAUCAGGUUGUCUUCAGGCUGGUAGGGCAAGCAGCUUACCAUCUGAACUGUCUCCCUCACUCAAGAGAAACAACUAUCUUCUUUUUAAAGCAUAUUACUUGAAUAUGUUUUGAAAAACCGCAAGGAAAUAUUUGCUAGAAAUAAUACAUCAUUGCCAAGGUAUUUAUAAACCUAUGAGUAGUUUAGAGGAAGUUUAAAGAUGCCUAGAAAAUAUCUCUAGCACUUGAACAUGAUAAUAAAGUAAGAAUGGAUUUGGAAAAGGAAGGUUUGUGACUCAGCCGUGCUAGGUGGCUGAGUGGGCCGAGUCUAUUCAAGUUUUCCUCCCUAGAUGGAAUGAGAGAUGGGGAAGCUGGGGCAUGGGUUUUGUGUUAACAUAAAAGAUCCAGAGGAGACAGGUAACCUUUAUAUUGCCCAACUUCUACCAGGCAAAAUCUAAUAACACAGAGGUAGGAACAAAAUGUCAUUUUGGGAGACAUAAUAAUAGACCCAAGUCAUGUGGUCUCAGCUGUAGAAAUUGUGAAAUGUUCUGUUUGUUCUACAGGAGCAUAAACAUUACAGACUGUGUUUCAAGAUGAAAAAUCUCAAAGCAAAAAUAAAAAUUUGGUUGCCAAUCAUCUAUCUUGGUGGCUUUUCCUUUUGCUAUGAUAAAAAUACCUGACAAAAGCAACUUAAGGGUACAGAGUUCAAGGUUAUGUUCAUCGUUAGGGAAGGCUCAGCAGCAGGGGCUUACAGCAGCUGGCCACAGCACAGCUGCAGUCAAGAAGCAGAGAGUGAGGAUAUGCAAAAUCAGCUUUUAGCACUGGUUCAUGUGUUCCAGGAUCUGUGCCUAGACCUCAUGCCAUUCACGUUGAUGGGUGCUCCCACCUCAAUUAGCCACUCACAGAGUCCUCCACAGGCACAGCCAGCCCAUGCCCAGUGACCUAGAUGAUUCCACAUUCGAGUUGACAACUGAGACUAACCAUCGCACCCCCUCAUGGAGAAGCCUGCAGUAGUCAUUUCCACUUAGCACUCACCUCAGAGAUAGUAAACGUGGAACUAGCAAUUCUACUGAUAUAUGCCAAGAAGAACUGGACACAGGACCUUAAUGGUGGAUAGCCCAUCAGGUAAGGGCAUUUACUGCUAAGCAUGAUGGCCUGAGUUUGAUUCCCGAUACCCACAACUAAUGGGAGCUAACUCCCAUUAGUUGUCCUCUGACAUACACACAUACACACAUGCUCACACACAUCACAGACACACACAGUAAAUAAGUAAAAAUGUAAUUAAAGAAUAUUUGCAUACUAAUACUCAUAUAAAAAUAGAUGGGAAGG